AACUUAUAAGUAACGAAAAUAAAUACUUAAUAGUAGAAAUACUAAGCAAAAAAAAUAUCAUUAGCUAUACUGGUUCGAUACAAAUUUUUUAAAAAUAUUUAUAACUCUAGAAUAUACAAAAGUAAAUUGAAAUUGAAUACAAUAAAGUAUAUCAACUCUGACUAACUGUCUAUGAAGCAUAUACUAAUACUUACUAAAGGUAGCUAAGACAUGACCCCUACCUAACCCUAAUCAAUAUGACUGACUAAAAUUAUAAUAUUGGUACUAUCAUUGAGUUGAGUCCUCAAAUAAAAAGAAU
rnacentral:lncRNA from 1 species